rnacentral:rRNA from 1 species
CGGGGGGCAGCAGUGGGGAAUUUUGGACAAUGGGCGAAAGCCUGAUCCAGCAAUGCCGCGUGCAGGAAGAAGGCCUUCGGGUUGUAAACUGCUUUUGUACGGAACGAAACGGUCCUUUUUAAUACAGAGGGCUAAUGACGGUACCGUAAGAAUAAGCACCGGCUAACUACGUGCCAGCAGCCGCGGUAAUACGUAGGGUGCGAGCGUUAAUCGGAAUUACUGGGCGUAAAGCGUGCGCAGGCGGUUAUAUAAGACAGUUGUGAAAUCCCCGGGCUCAACCUGGGAAUUGCAUCUGUGACUGUAUAGCUAGAGUACGGUAGAGGGGGAUGGAAUUCCGCGUGUAGCAGUGAAAUGCGUAGAUAUGCGGAGGAACACCGAUGGCGAAGGCAAUCCCCUGGACCUGUACUGACGCUCAUGCACGAAAGCGUGGGGAGCAAACAGGAUUAGAUACCCGAGU